GGCCGGCUGGCCUAAUGGUUAAGGCGUCAGUUUCCGGUCGUCUCCCGAAUGUUACGAUUGCACCCAGCUGAAGAUUCCGAGUUCGACUCUCGGGUUGGUCG